UCCCAGACUCCUACGGGAGGCAGCAGUGAGGAAUAUUGGUCAAUGGGCGAGAGCCUGAACCAGCCAAGUCGCGUGAGGGAAGACGGUCCUAUGGAUUGUAAACCUCUUUUGCCGGGGAGCAACGGGGUCCUUGCGAGGGCCCGAUGAGAGUACCCGGAGAAAAAGCAUCGGCUAACUCCGUGCCAGCAGCCGCGGUAAUACGGAGGAUGCGAGCGUUAUCCGGAUUUAUUGGGUGUAAAGGGUGCGUAGACGGGUAUAUAAGUUAGUUGUGAAAUCCCUCGGCUCAACUGAGGAACUGCAACUAAAACUGUAAAUCUUGAGUGCGGGAGAGGAAAGUGGAAUUCCUAGUGUAGCGGUGAAAUGCGUAGAUAUUAGGAGGAACACCAGUGGCGAAGGCGACUUUCUGGACCGUAACUGACGUUGAGGCACGAAAGUGUGGGGAGCAAACAGGAUUAGAUACCCCUGUAC
rnacentral:rRNA from 1 species